GUUCGGGAAUUUGAAAACGAUGAUCGCAGAAGGACUUCGAUUAGGUCUUUGUUAUGCGAUGUGUUAUCUUCCUGAUGCUAUGUACCCAAAAAAAAGGAAUUAAAAAAUGUGAAAGUGACGAAUGUCUUAAAUAAUGUGAUUUGUCUAAAUAUGUGUUUUGUAAACAAACGAUUCAUAUGUAUAAAUAAUAAAAAUGCACGUGUUAUGGGCUCGCAGACUGAUUGACCAUUUGGAAUAGCUAAAUUGCUGUAACUCCGUGCAUCGAUCUCUACGCCAGAUGCUCCUGAUUAUUGUGGAUUAACGUUAAUUUGGUUUCCGUGUCCAACGCCUACGUGACCCUAAUAAGAGGUCAAUAACGAGGUCGCAAGGCUCUGUCACAGUGAAACGGUAAGAGUUAGUCAGUUAUGUUUUCAAGUUAUACGUUAUUGUGGCGUAAAUAUUGUCUGGUGAAUUUUUGAUCUGGCGGUUUCUAAAAAUGGCUUAACUUGCAAAUUCCAAAAUGGUAUGUUUUGUCGUUUACAAACUAGACUAUCCAAACCUUUUGGGAAAAAUCAUUCCUUUGGACAUGGCUUUUGAUGAGUUAUCAUUACAAAUUGGUUAGUCCAA